rnacentral:rRNA from 1 species
CCUACGGGAGGCAGCAGUAGGGAAUAUUGCUCAAUGGGGGAAACCCUGAACCAGCAACGCCGCGUGAGGGAUGAAGGUUUUCGGAUUGUAAAGCCCUUUUAUCAGAGAAGAUAAUGACGGUAUCUGACGAAUAAGCACCGGCUAACUCCGUGCCAGUAGCCGCGGUAAUACGGAGGGUGCAAGCGUUACCCGGAAUCACUGGGCGUAAAGAGAGCGUAGGCGGGAUAGCAAGUCAGAUGUGAAAUCCCAGGGCUCAACCAUAGAACUGCAUUGGAAACUGUUAAACUAGAGUAUGGGAGAGGUAAGUGGAAUUCUUGGUGUAGGGGUAAAAUCCGUAGAGAUCAAGAGGAAGACGCGUGGCGAAGGCGACUUGCUAGACUGUAACUGACGUUGAGGCGCGAAAGCGUGGGGAGCAAACAGGAUUAGAUACCCGGGUAGUC